rnacentral:misc_RNA from 1 species
UUAUAGCAUUUUAUGUUAUUUAAUUAGUAGAAAGACAUCAAAAUAAGGUAUCUAAGUUUCAUAAUUUUCGUAGCUCUUUUUUUUUAAUUAAUUCCCUACAGGAAAUGGAUUUGCCCUGAUGACCUUGAUAUCAUUAAGAGUGGAGGUCUCAGUAAAUGCAUGAAAAGUUUGUAUGGAACAAUAUAUAUGGUUCUAAGUUUGGG